rnacentral:rRNA from 1 species
GAUGAACGCUCGCUACAGGCUUAACACAUGCAAGUCGCGGGGCAGCAUGGGGGUUGCUUGCAAUCCCCGAUGGCGACCGGCGCACGGGUGAGUAACGCGUAUCCAACCUGCCCUUCACCACGGGAUAACCCGGCGAAAGUCGGACUAAUACCGUAUGUUGUCCAUUUACGGCCUCCGAUUUGGACGAAAGGUUUGGCGGUGAAGGAUGGGGAUGCGUCCGAUUAGCUGGACGGCGGGGUGACGGCCCACCGUGGCGACGAUCGGUAGGGGUUCUGAGAGGAAGGUCCCCCACACUGGAACUGAGACACGGUCCAGACUCCUACGGGAGGCAGCAGUGAGGAAUAUGGGUCAAUGGGCGUAAGCCUGAACCAGCCAAGUAGCGUGCAGGAUGACGGCCCUAUGGGUGGUAAACUGCUUUUAUGCGGGGAUAAAGUGGCCCACGUGUGGGUUUUUGCAGGUACCGCAUGAAUAAGGACCGGCUAAUUCCGUG